GGUUGUGGCUCAAUGGUAGAGCACUUGCCUAGCACAUGUGAGGCACUGGGUUCGAUCCUCAGUACCA
rnacentral:tRNA from 1 species